rnacentral:tRNA from 1 species
GGAUGUAUCUCAGUGGUAGAGCACUUGCCUAGCAUGUGCAAGGCCCUGGGUUCAACUCCCAUCACCA